rnacentral:rRNA from 1 species
CUACGGGCCGCACCAGUGAGGAAUAUUGCGCAAUGGGGGAAACCCUGACGCAGCGACGCCGCGUGGAUGAUGAAGGCCUUCGGGUCGUAAAAUCCUGUCAGAAGGAAAGAAGUAUAUGGUAGCUAAUAUCUGCCAUAUUUGACGGUACCUUCAAAGGAAGCACCGGCUAACUCCGUGCCAGCAGCCGCGGUAAUACGGAGGGUGCAAGCGUUGUUCGGAAUUACUGGGCGUAAAGCGCGCGUAGGCGGCUGUUUAAGUCAGAUGUGAAAGCCCAUGGCUUAACCAUGGACGUGCAUUUGAUACUGGGCAGCUUGAGGACUGGAGGGGGUGGUGGAAUUCCCGGUGUAGAGGUGAAAUUCGUAGAUAUCGGGAGGAAUACCGGUGGCGAAGGCGACCACCUGGCCAGAUACUGACGCUGAGGUGCGAAAGCGUGGGGAGCAAACAGGAUUAGAUACCCUCGUAGUC